rnacentral:rRNA from 1 species
CCUACGGGAGGCAGCAGUGGGGAAUUUUGGACAAUGGGCGCAAGCCUGAUCCAGCAAUGCCGCGUGAGUGAAGAAGGCCUUCGGGUUGUAAAGCUCUUUUGUCAGGGAAGAAACGGUGAGUUCUAAUACAGCUUGCUAAUGACGGUACCUGAAGAAUAAGCACCGGCUAACUACGUGCCAGCAGCCGCGGUAAUACGUAGGGUGCAAGCGUUAAUCGGAAUUACUGGGCGUAAAGCGUGCGCAGGCGGUUUUGUAAGUUUGUCGUGAAAUCCCCGGGCUCAACCUGGGAAUGGCGAUGAAGACUGCAAGGCUAGAGUUUGGCAGAGGGGGGUAGAAUUCCACGUGUAGCAGUGAAAUGCGUAGAUAUGUGGAGGAACACCGAUGGCGAAGGCAGCCCCCUGGGUCAAAACUGACGCUCAUGCACGAAAGCGUGGGGAGCAAACAGGAUUAGAUACCCUGGUAGUCCACGCCCUAAACGAUGUCUACUAGUUGUCGGGUCUUAAUUGACUUGGUAACGCAGCUAACGCGUGAAGUAGACCCGCCUGGGGAGUACGGUCGCAAAGAUUAAAACCUUAAAGGAAUUGACCGGCNGAGAGNGCGACGACGACGACGAGGAGGAGG